rnacentral:snRNA from 1 species
CAUGAGAACUGUUAAUGCACUGUUCCAAUUGGAACAAUACAAAUAAGAUUAGCAUGGCCCCUGCACAAGGAUGUUAAUGCACUGUCUCGAGGACUUUACGCUGUGU